rnacentral:rRNA from 1 species
CAGCCGCGUAAUUCCAGCUCCAAUAGCGUAUAUUAAAGUUGUUGCAGUUAAAAAGCUCGUAGUUGAAUUUCGAGACCGGUCUACUGGUCGUGCUUUUGUACGUACUGGUUUUAUUGGUUUCUCCUUUCUGACGAACUAUAAUGCCAUUAAUUUGGUGUUAUAGGGAAUCAGGACUGUUACUUUGAAAAAAUUAGAGUGUUUAAAGCAGGCUCACGCUUGAAUACAUUAGCAUGGAAUAACGGAAUAGGACGUUUGAUUUUAUUUUGUUGGUUUCUAGGAUCGACGUAAUGAUUAAUAGGGAUAGUUGGGGGCAUUAGUAUUCAAUUGUCAGAGGUGAAAUUCUUGGAUUUAUUGAAGACUAACUACUGCGAAAGCAUUUGCCAAGGAUGUUUUCAUUAAUCAAGAACGAAAGUUAGGGGAUCGAAGACGAUCAGAUACCGUCGUAGUCUUAACCAUAAACUAUGCCGACUAGGGAUCGGAUGAUGUUAAUUUUUUAAUGACUCAUUCGGCGCCUUACG